rnacentral:rRNA from 1 species
GGGACACGUGGUAUCCUGUCUGAAUAUGGGGGGACCAUCCUCCAAGGCUAAAUACUCCUGACUGACCGAUAGUGAACCAGUACCGUGAGGGAAAGGCGAAAAGAACCCCGGCGAGGGGAGUGAAAAAGAACCUGAAACCGUGUACGUACAAGCAGUGGGAGCACGCUUAGGCGUGUGACUGCGUACCUUUUGUAUAAUGGGUCAGCGACUUAUAUUCUGUAGCAAGGUUAACCGAAUAGGGGAGCCGAAGGGAAACCGAGUCUUAACUGGGCGUUAAGUUGCAGGGUAUAGACCCGAAACCCGGUGAUCUAGCCAUGGGCAGGUUGAAGGUUGGGUA